GUGUCAGCCGCCGCGGUAAUACAGAGGGUGCAAGCGUUAAUCGGAAUCACUGGGCUUAAAGCGUUCGUAGGCGGGCUUGCAGGCGCGUUGUGAAAGCCCCCGGCUCAACCGGGGAACUGCUUCGCGAACCGCAAGUCUUGAGUCAAGUAGGGGCGGUCGGAACGAUAGGUGGAGCGGUGAAAUGCGUAGAUAUCUAUCGGAACGCCAAAGGUGAAGACAGGCCGCUGGGCUUGUACUGACGCUGAGGAACGAAAGCGUGGGGAGCAAACGGGAUUAGAUACCCCUGUAGUCC
rnacentral:rRNA from 1 species